ensembl:lncRNA
GCCCGGGGCUCGGUGGGGCUCUCCCUCGCGGCUGUGCCGGCACUGCGGCGGGGGUCCGUCCCCCGCACCCGCGCUGGCUCUGCUGCUUGGCGGCCUUAGGGACCGGGCAGGCGCGCUGCCGAGCCAAGGGGAGGCCGGGCCUCGGGCCUCGGCAGCGAGCUGCCGAGCGCCGGGCCUGGCCCGGCCUCGGCCUGCCCGUGCCGGCGUGGCCUCCAUUCCGCACGCCGGCGGUUGUCCGCCGCCAGCAGCCUUUCUAGCAAGGGGCGGCCGUGGCAGCGGCUCUGGCUUGCUUUCAGACUGGCCUCCGGGCAGCUCCUUGCAGCAGCCACCCAUCCCCCGCCCGGCCCGCCAGCCUGGCCUUGCGGGCAGGCCGCUGUAGAAGAGGUAUCUCGAAGGCGUAUCUCGUCUACAUACACGCACCAGGCUGAAUUUGCAGGCCGUGGCCAGCACUGCUGGCUGACAGAGGUCCUGUCCUCCGGCAGGACCCGCGGGCCCCUCGCUGGUCCCUCGGGACAGCUGUUCGGCAGGCAGAGGGAUUGCCCUGCAGCUUCAGACAUGGGUCGUCUUGCAGAGUAGAAGAUGAGACCGACAGAUGUGGCUGUGCUGAGUAGGCAGAGGCAUGGACUACUCUUUGAUCCUAUAAAGUUUAUCCUGGUUUUCAUGAAACACCCCUGUAAGUGGCCAGCAAUACAUCUCAUUGCCGGAAUGCACUCACACUUGCAGUUGUGGUCCAAGUGGGAUACCCCAGCCCACAGAUGGCUAGACAGACACGUCUACAAGCCCUUACUGCAUCAUGGUUAUGACAAGUGGCAGGCCUGGCUGGCUGCGUUCCUUCUCUCUGCAUGUUUCUGCGAGGCUGCUCCAUGCAAACUCUGGCCAAAUGGCUCCACUGAGCUGCUACAGCCCAUGCACCAGGGCACCGGGGGUCAUGCCAGGGAACAGCACCCUGCCACAGCUGCUGCAGGCAACACCCUCAGCGGUCUCCAUGUGUGCUUUGAUAAAAAAGCAAGGUUCCCAUCCAGAGAUGUAUUCAAGCCAUGGAGCUGGCUAAGUAAGCCACACAGCAGAAUUCCCAUGCAAUAGCUCUACUUGCCUGGAGUCAUUCACUACUGGCCGCGCAGUCCCAGGCCACCUUCUCUGAGAAUGGCAAACACCAUUGUCUCUGGGUGUUAGAUGGGUUUGCUCACACGUGCUCACUAUCUGCUGAAAUGAAUUCAACCAAGAGGAACAUGCUGGUGGCCUCAUUCUGCCAAGCGUGCUGGUACCCGACCCAUCCAGGCCAUACAUGCCUUCGCCAUGGCAGCCUCCGUUGCAGCUGCUGCCUCCAGCACAGAACCAAAACCAUCAGUUGCAGCACUGGCAAGAUUUGUGUCCAAGGCAAGAUUUGAACCACCUGUGAGUAAUCCUGUAAGACAUGAAGGCGCCAGUGGCCAAAAGCUGUUUUCUCACAGAGUUCCUCAGCAAAGACAAGGUGCAUCGUUCCUGCUGGGCACCCAGCCAGAAGGCCCGUCACCAGAACCCCAGAGUCAGGACCUUAGUGCAAAGGCCAGCAGCAAGGGGAGGAGUGUGAUCUGGAAACACAAAAGGAGAAGCACAGAAUGCCAAGGAGAUGACUUAAGACACAUGUAAUUGCGCAACAGGGAACCGGGCUUGGGGAAGGAAGCAGCACUUGAUUCUCAAACAUGUCACUGUGCUUUGGUAACACAAGCUUUAAUCAAAGCCUUCACACUGGCAGUGUUGCAAGUACUACACAGCAUUUGUUUUUCUAGGUGGUAAACUGAGUGAAUGUACCUCAAAGGCUGCAAAAGUCAUGCUGUACAGACUGGCUCGGUUGGUGUUUUACUGUGGUCAGUAGAUUUUUACCAGAUGCUUUUACUUGUUAAAUUUUCCUUGGUAGUAGGAGCAAUCCAGCAAAUAAUAUUAAUGAUGGAGCACCAGGAGACACGCAGCCAAGGAGAUCACUUUUUUGGCUGGAUCCCCUCCUGCACAAGGGAGGCUUUGUACAAGCUCACAGAAGUGCCGUGUUCAGCUUGCUGUGGGCAGAGCUGGAGGCAGGCUUCAGGCUUUGUCUCCGUGCAGAGUCAGGUCAGCUUCAUUAACCACGGGGCUUAAAACUCAUUAGUUCUGAGUUGUGGCCAGGCUGCUGGGAGGCUGUGGUUCCUCACGAGAGGUGCCUGUCUCCCAGCAGGGAUGGUAGGGAGACAGCUGGUCCUUUGGGCAAAAGAAGAGGCUUGGGCUGGCCUCAGAGAGCAUCCCAUGCCACCUGUGAGAGCUGCCAUGGAGGUCAUGCUUCGUUGGCAGUGCUGACCUUCUCUGACACCUGCAAAAUGGGACAGGACCGGUGUCACCAAGCUGGCCGACCCACAGCCCGUGGGUCAAGGACAUGGGCUGGUCAUGGUUCCACCAGCACUUGGUCUCAUGCAGGUUGUCUUUGACCCCUGUGGAUCCAGAUAAGAUGAAAUAAGUCAAGUCAUGCUCACAGUGAGUCAGGUGCCAGGCACCUCUGGCUCAGGCAGUGCCACUGUCAGGUGCCAGCGUCACCUUUGGAUACAUGCUGUUUGCAGCAACACCAGCAUCAUGGUGGAACAGCCUAGCUGGUGAUCGGGGACCAGCCUCAGAGUGGCACCCCCAUGGGGAGGGCAGGGUGAAACCAACCUCUCGGAGAUGUUUUCCUGGCUCUUGCAGGGUUAAGUAGCCCCUUUUGGCAAAAGUCAACUACAGAUUGCUGCCUCCCAGCUGAUUCCCACAGCAUUUCAAACACAACAUCACAAGAGUCAGGGAUAAUACACACGAAAGACCCUUCUCAGUGGGACAGAUAAGCACUAACAGAGUUAUUGCAGGAACAUAGAGUACUGAAUUUCCUACGUGCAGGAUUGGCUAUAUCGAGGGAGGAGAAGACAACCAUGAAAAAAAAUCCAAGGUUUCCCUGGGAUGCCCCUGUCCUAAACAUGCCAUAGCAUGGACCCUGCCCUUGCUGCAUAUAAUAAACCCUGCAUAUAAUAAACGUGUAUUCACAUGCUGGGAAGAAAUCAGUUCAGCUGACGCUGCCCUAGUCCGUAUGCAGGUUUAAACAAGCGCUCAAACCUGGAUUUCCCUCCAGCCUUCUCCUAGCACUGUUUCCCUUCCCCUUGGCUGUCCUUAUCCCCAGUAUUGCAGAGGGCAUCCAAGGGGUUGGUCUGGGCAUGUGCAUCCACAGCCACCACACGCCUCGCCAGCGAGAAGAGCGAUCCAGGGAUAACCUUCUGGGAGCAUGCCAGCCCUCCAGGAGCCCCGGUGCCUAUGCUUUCUGCUUCUCACCUGCUCCUUUCACCCAUGGCUAUUAAAUAGUGCAUACAAGGGGUACUGUAAUUUUUCUUUCUCAACAUUUUUCUCAUCCUUGAUGGAAAGAAGAGGGUUUCAUAUUCCUCUUACCAUCCCACCUUCUCUGUCCCACUCUUCAAAGGCACACUUGGCCUUUCAUGAGCUGGGAAGAGACUUCUUGUCCCCACUGGCACCACUCCACGGGUAAAGCCCAGUGCAGGCAGCUGUAGUUUGGUGGUGCCUCUGUAACAGCUCCUGCUACCCUCCAG